GUUGGUGUAGCUCUGUGGUAGAGUGCCUGCUUUGUAUGUAUGCAGUCCUGGGUUCAAUCACCAGCUUCUCCC